rnacentral:lncRNA from 1 species
UCCAUCUUUAUUGAAAAAAGUGUUAAAUGAGAAUUAGGUAUUUUGAGUUUUGUUGUGAAAAUGACUUGACCUAGAUCAAGUAUUGAUGGACGUUUGAGAAAGAUUUGAAUGAGUGUUUGAGAAAACAAAGUGGGUAAAUUGGAUGAUGGCGAGAGCUAGGAUUGAUAUUAAAUCGAGAAAAAUAUGAUUUUUAUAGUUUAAAAAUAGUUUUGAAUGAAUGAUGAAAUUAAAAGACAACAAAUCUAUGUUAUGAUAAUGAAACUAUGAAAAUAAUAAAGCAUAAACGUAACAAAAAAAUGUUAAAAGAAAUAAAAUACUAAAAGAAAAUAAAAAGCUAAAAGAAAAAUAAAAUACUAAAAAAAAAUUCUACACAUGAGUAUUGAACCCACCCCACCCAAGACUAUGAUACUACCCUUCUCCACCAGACCACUCAUGGUUAUUUAUUAUUUUGAUGCUACUUUAAAU